UCAUAAUGGUUGACAAUUUCUCCCUUAUUAGAUUUUAGUAGAAAAAUUCAAUCCAUAUAUGUGGCUUCAUUUCUUGAGUGACAAUCUUAUACUCAUACUAUUUUUUUAUUUUUUUAUAAAUAUUUUUGAUGAUGUGAAACCGCAUUUGAGGAUGGUCUUCCCUCCCCCGAAGCUGACCUACUUCCCUUCCCUACUUGCCUGUGUUCCUAUCCCUCUCCACGACUCGCGAUGGUCAACUCGAGUUGAUGCCUCUGCACGUCCUGCCCUCUCCACGAUGACGAUGGCUUUCUGCUCAAGUGUUACCACGGCGUCCGCCUAUCAUGGGCAGCUUAAUUUAUUGAAACAAGGCAUCAUUUGAUUAAUUAUACACGAUGCGCCCCCGCCCGCAUCUUGGCGAGGGGAGGAGCUGCAAAGGCGUCGGAUUCCCUGGAAGUGAAGGAGGAGUUCAGGCAUUGCGACCCGCAAGACGGAGGUGCGCAAAAGAGAAGAGGCCCGAUGUCGACCGAAGAAAAGGCCAUCUACGGUUACGGUCCCACAUCGUAGGAAGUAUCUAUAUAUCGGUGAAAAUUUAAGGAACAAAAUUAUGAAUAUGGGAUUAUCAUCAUUCUUUUAUAAAUGAAGCCACAUGUACGAGUGUAAUUUUCUCUGCUAGAAUCUAAUAAUAAAGAAAAUGUCAACUACA